rnacentral:rRNA from 1 species
AUUGAACGCUGGCGGCAGGCCUAACACAUGCAAGUCGAGCGAGCGGCGGACGGGUGAGUAAUGUCUGGGAAACUGCCUGAUGGAGGGGGAUAACUACUGGAAACUGUCGCUAAUACCGCGUACCAUAGGAUGAGCCCAAGUGGGAUUAGGUAGUUGGUGGGGUAAUGGCCUACCAAGCUGACGAUCUCUAGCUGGUCUGAGAGGAUGACCAGCCACACCGGGACUGAGAGACGGCCCGGACUCCUACGGGAGGCAGCAGUGGGGAAUAUUGCGCAAUGGGGGCAACCCUGACGCAGCCAUGCCGCGUGAAUGAAGAAGGCCUUCGGGUUGUAAAGUUCUUUCGGUAUUGAGGCGUUAAAUACAGAAGAAGCACCGGCUAACUCCGUGCCAGCAGCCGCGGUAAUAC